AAAGCUCAAAUUUUAAAGCUGGCACCUCCGGUGUCCGCGUUGUAAUUUUGUGAGGCAUCUCCGGGUGGGGCGCCGGCCUAAGUUCCUUGGAACAGGACGUCAUAGAGGGUGAGAAUCCCGUGCUUGGCUGGCUGUCCCCGUCCAUGUGAGGUGUCUUCGACGAGUCGAGUUGUUUGGGAAUGCAGCUCAAAAUGGGUGGUAAAUUUCAUCUAAAGCUAAAUAUUGGCCAGAGACCGAUA
rnacentral:rRNA from 1 species